GGGCUCUUAGCUCAUAUGGUAGAGCGCUCGCUUCGCAUGUGUAGGAUGUUCAGAAUUGAUUGCAAGAGGUAAUGGGUUCAAUUCCCAUAGAGUCCA